GCGCAGCAGUCGCGAAUCUUCCACAAUGGACGAAAGUCUGAUGGAGCGACGCCGCGUGCGGGAUGAAGGCCUUAUGGGUUGUAAACCGCUGUCAGGGGGGGAAGAACAUCGGAAUGAACAAUACUCAUUCCGACUGACGUUACCCCCAGAGGAAGCUCCGGCCAACUCCGUGCCAGCAGCCGCGGUAAUACGGGGGGAGCAAGCGUUGUCCGGAAUUAUUGGGCGUAAAGGGCGUGUAGGCGGCGAGGUAAGUCGAAUGUGAAAUCUCACGGCUCAACCGUGAAACUGCGUUACGAAACUACCCUGCUUGAGUACGGGAGAGGUGUACGGAUUCCGUGGUGUAGGCGGUGGAAUGGCGUAAGAUAUCGAGGAAGAACACC
rnacentral:rRNA from 1 species